AGAGAGAGACAUGCGCGCAUAUCAAUAAGCGGAGGAAAAGAAACUAACAAGGAUUCCCUAGUAACGGCGAGUGAAGCGGGAAGAGCUCAAAUUUGAAAUCUUAAAGGUUUCCCUUGACGAAUUGUAGUUUAUAGAAGUGUUUUCUGUUAGUGGAGUGGCAAAAGUUCUUUGGAAUAGGACAUCAUAGAGGGUGAGAAUCCCGUAUUUGGUCAUUCCUCCUAGCGUUGUGAUACACUUUCAACGAGUCGGAUUGUUUGGGAAUGCAGUCCCAAAUGGGUGGUAAAUUUCAGUCUAAAGCUAAAUAUUGGCGAGAGACCGAUAGCGAACAAGUACCGUGAGGGAAAGAUGAAAAGAACUUUGAAAAGAGAGUUAAACAGUACGUGAAAUUGUCAAAAGGGAAGCGUUUGACACCAGUGUUGUUUUUCCGAAAAUCAAUUACGAAUGUUUUGUUUUUGAGGAGUUAUGACUUCAUCGGCUUGCUUCUUUCUUUACUGAAACUUUCUUAAUGCACUUUUCGGUUAACAAGUCAACAUCAAUUUCUUUUGUUGUAAAAGGGUAUGAGGAAGGUGGCUUUCUUUUCGGAGAAAGUGUUUAUAGCCUUGUACCUCUGCAAUCGGAGAGAUUGAGGUCUGCAGCGUAGAUCCUUCGGGGUUAGAUACAUUUGUGCUAAGUUAUAGCUUUUCAUAGACAACUUGUUGACUAUGUUUAGUCUUGUAGCUUACUCGCUUAUGCUAUUUUACCUACGCUUAGGAUGUUGAUAGUCACAGCGUGUAC
rnacentral:rRNA from 1 species